AGCAGCAAGUCCAAACCAUCCGCCCAGGAAGCGCCGCAACCAGGGCUUGGGAGGAGCGGAUGGGGCAAGGCAGGGGUCUAACCCAGGGGUAGUCUUGGACCCACUUUCCACCAUAAACUCCCUCUUUGCCCAGGGCAAGCCGACAAAAUGUGGUUCAAGCUGACCAGGCCGAGCCGUGGAGGAAUGCUGGGGCUCGCCUGCAGAAGGGAUGGGACCAGAGAGGAGGGGUAAAGGAGACCCCAGUAAAGGGCAGGCCAUUUCAGGUGAAGAAAGGUAAGAGGAAACUGUGAAGUCAAGGGCCAGGCUGUGGAGGAGAUUAAAGGAGGUCAAAGAGAGGUAAGGGGGUAAGGUUGCUGAGAAGAGAACCAACUGCUCCUUCCUGCUGCAGCUGGUGGUGGUGGGGUUAAGUAUUUGGGAAGGCCUGAGCUGGGUACAUAAGCAAAGAGCCUGAGCUGGGCGGUCCAGGCAAAAGAGGGUUAAAAGGAUGAAAGAAUUAGACUUGAGGUUAGAAGGCCAUAAGGAUGGGUGUUAGAUAGAAUUAGAGGGGGACCUAAUGCGCUCAUAAGUGAUGGAGAGAGACGGAUAAUCAAGGCCAGGCCGGAAUGUUGAUCCUCACCCAUCCCACUCCUCAGUUACUGAGUUAGUGUUUUCUUAUCCUUUUUCCACAAUUCUGCCAACCUCGUUUUCCUUAUAAAGACGGGAAAGUGUGAACCAACAGAGAUAUAGCAAUUUAAUCAUAGAUUUUACUUAUAGGAUAUUUUUCCAUGGCACAUAAAAAUGUAGAGACAGAGAAUUGCGAUUCGAAGUAGACCCCGCCUCCCCCCCCCCCGCACACACAUACAUUGCAAGUCAUUAAGACUAAGGAUUUCAAACUUAGUUUCCAUACAUCACUAGACACGAAUAAGCCUUUAAACGCUAAUACUUAAGUUAAAUGCUAGCAGUGGGGACAGAAUUGGUGGUUUAGAAUAUCAGGAAAAUGCACGUUUGCGCUCUGUCCACACACAUGCAUAUAUAUGUAUAUAUAAUUUCUAGUGUGUAGCAUGCACAGUAUGAUUAAGGGAUAAGCAUGUUUCCCUGAUCAUCUUAUUUCCAACCAAGCACGCAUUUUAUGGCAGUCAUCUUGUCACCAUUUGGAAGAAUGUGGUCAGAAAAGUAGUGCCCAAACUGCCACUUUGGUUUUGUCUGUACCUUACAGGUCAUGGCUUCAUACCUCACUUCCUGACACAAACAAGUUUUUACUGUUGUCAGCAACAAAGCCCUAAUAUAGCCGCGGAAGAGAAAAACUGCCUUGCAUUUUGCCUCUUGAGAGCAUCAACAGUUACCGGAGGAAUGUAAUUCCAGAAAGCUCCGAAACUGGUAGUGAUGGUAAUUAUGGACCAAAUGCCCGAUUCUGGUUGUUAUUUUCUGGGCAUUUCUGUUCUACCAACGAUCGGCGAGUGAGCUCACUCAGAGGGCAAAUCUGGCUUUUCUUUUUGACUUUGUAAAAUUUAAUCAGGCCUGAUAGGGAACUCACAGCUCUUGGGGGAAAAUAAAGUAGGAACCACGAAAUGUCAUUUUAACAGAGCGUGGGCUUGGUGACUGCAGGAAAGGAUUUAAGGACGCUCCUGUUCCGCUUGCUGUGUAAUGAGCACUGGCUCCACGCACGCACCGACGCCAUAGCUCCCGGAUGCAGUGGCUCCCUUAUCUGGGCUUUCGCAGCGCCACAAGCCCCUUCGGGAUGCUUCGAGGGGCUCCCGGUGGGUGGUGGUACAAACGCUGCCGCCGCCGGUCCUGCUGCUGUUGUUGCUGCUGCAGUCACGUGGGAGCCCCUUUAAGUUUCCAUAGAGAGGCCUCUCCGGUGUCACAUGAUGGACAUGAUAUAAUGAAACAACAUUGUGGAGAGGAAAGCAUUAGGGGAGCCCACGGCUACAAAACAAGUGAGAAGAGGUGGGAGAAAGAGAAACUACGCCACCUCCUCUGCAGCCGAGCGCACGCAGCAGCCUGGCGUGACAAGUGGGCGACGCCGGGGACAGGGAGUGGGGGUCCUCCGCCCGCUCCGGGGACCCUGUCGCCCACCGUGGUGCGCUGAGCAACUUUUAGCCGGCAGCCCCGCACCUGUCUCAGAGUCCCCAUCGCUCCCCACCAACCAUCAUGGGAAAAUUCUAGAAGAAUACGCUCUCGGAAUCUACGUGCGCAUCAUUUUCCUCCUCACUCCAGAGGAAGGAACCAGAAAAGAGAGCAAAGCGGUGUAGUGUUCAGCCUCAAGGCAUCUCGUUGAUUCCUAGCGUUAGAAGAUUUGAGCUAACAGGAGUCUGCAACCUCUCUGCCUUGCUGAUGCACCCAGGCAGGGCUCACUGGUUUGCAGGAGUACAUGACCACAGAUCAGAGCCACUGCAGGCUGCACAGAUACCUGACUCUGGGCACUCAGGAAGACUCAGGCAGAGAUGGGGAGUCAGCCUGCAAGCUGGCAUGCAAGAGCUCACAUGCAGUUCUCCAUUUAGCUAGGAGGUUUCCAGGGCAACCACCGAAGCAGUAAUUAAAGAUGAAGAGCUAAAAGAGAGAAAAAUAGCAGCAACCUGGUCUCUCUUCACGGAACAUAAGCCACCAAAAGAGCAUCCCUUUACUUGGGGUGAGGGCCAGUGUGGUAGGCGUUCCUCUGAGUGGCCUUCAUGGUGUCUUCCUGUCCCCUGAUGUGGCUUGCUGCGGGCGAGUCACUGCCAUUCUCUGUAGCCCUUGUCAUUUGCCCUCAAGACCACAGUCUGACCCGGCAACCCUUGUGGCGACAGCGCACCAUUCAGACCUUGUGCCUUGCUUUGGGGAGAAGGAGCGGUCAGUAAGUCUGAACCUACCUCUGCAGGACACAAAGUCAUCUCAGGAGACCACAGCCUCCUUGGCCGUGUUUUGAUGUCUUACAAUAGUGGAUGCCUCAUACCAACUUAAGACUAAGUCAUGCUUCCAGUCCCUGCCUCCUCGACUUUCUUUCUGCCAUGGAAGGCCACUUUAUUUUAGGAGUCUGAGGUAUGGACAGCCAGCGACCUCCAUGGAAAUCAUGAAGAUGCCCUUUCUGUCCCUCACUGCCUUCUGCCACAGCCCCUGGUCGGCAAGUGACCAAAUUAAAAGGACCAGCCUGUCAUUGAGGAACAACUGACAGAGGUCUAAGGUGUGUGAGAGAGAAGACAAAGGAAGCAGAGAGAGAGAGAGACAGGUGCUGGCCAGACUUGGUGACAAACAGGCCUGACACAGUGAAGACGAAGGUUAAAUACAGAGAAGAAAUAACUUGGAAACAAACAUCAAAGAAGGAUGGUGGAAAUGCCGUCCUUUCUCAGUGAGUCACUUCCAGAAAUGAAUAGCCGCAGAUUUUGGAAUGAGCAUUGUGAAAUCUCUCGUUUAUAAUGGCAGGUUUUCAGUUGGUGGCUUGAUCAGACAUUUUCUCAAGAUGAAAAUGAGACCUUGUCUUUAAAAAGAAAAAAAAAAAAAAAAAAAAAGUAAGUAAGCCCUGUGGAUUCAGAAAGCAAAAGUCUCCCACUGAAGAGCUGUCACAGCUGACCUAGCCCUCUGUGUCAAGCUGUGUGUCCUUAGAUCUGCCUGUACGGAUGAGUUCUUGGAAUUACCGACCUCUCAGCAGUCGUAGCUGGUGGUUUCCAGUGCAGAAGGUUACUACUUGAAUCAGCUCUCCUCUGGGUGAGUAGGUGGUAGUUUCCCAAGGUGUUCAGCAACUUGAGCUGUGGAUUUAAAAGACUGCUGGCAGCUCUUACACACUUCUGCUUCCUGAAGCCCAGUGGAUGGUUCUGCCGAGCAGCGGGAGGACCCUGAGGUGUGUUUUAACAGUGUGGACGAUUGAAUUACCACUCCAUCUUUUGAAUAUGGAGAUCUUUUGAGGAGGAGAAAGUAUUUUUGCAGAAGGAAGUGGUGUAUUUGUGGGGGGGAGCUUUCAGCGGGGUAAUUAUGGGGUUUUUGUUUUAAGCACUAAAGACCCUUCUUUGGUGUGGAGGAGAUAAAUGACUUAGGGUCUUAACAGAGAAGUUUUUCUGUAACUCUGAGGAAGCUCUGUGGCACUACUAGCAGUCCCCUCUGUCCAAGGAGGAUGCUAACCCCAGCAGAGACUGACUAUCUGGCAGUACCCACUCUGGGUCUGCCAGGCCCCAUGGGCUCCUUCCUGGGUUAGUGGGAGCACUUGGUGCAGGGCAGAGAGAAGGAGCCCAGUUACUGGAAGCGGGGAGUGUGGCUGCAGGGAUUGUUCCCUCAGUGGAUCAGUUGUUUGACCUACUGACUCACUUCAGAGGAAUUGGGAAAACAACCUAAUGUGGUUUUAUUGUCGCUGUUCAGGACUGUAGGGUUCCAGCCUGGGAUUUCGAUGGGCUGGAGGAAGGUGCUGCUGGCAUUCAUGCUUUCUGCUGACCCGCUCUUGGCUCUCCUGUGGAAUUCAGUCCUCUGCUUCCAGGACAAACCCAGCCUGCACUUGGGGAUCCUUGGGUGACCGUUCAACUGUCACCCUGUGACAGCCGAUUAGUGAUGACUACGCUCUGCCCUUCUGCCUCCACAGAGUGUGCCAUGACCAGAAGAGAGUCUUUUCAACAAGGGCUCUUCACAAAGCCUCAACCACCAAGAAGGGUAAGGAAAGCGGUGUGGUUCAUGAGUCACCUCUUCCCUUUUCUUGACUAGAAACUAAUGACAGCUCAUCACUCUUGUGCCUUCAAGGAAGGUCAGCUCGCACAAUUCAAACGUAGCAUUGCAACCAAGAAACCAGUUGUCUUGUGAUGUGAUUGUUACCUGUGACCUCUGUGAUUCCUCUGUCAGGGGAGAGCCUGAUUUCCCAUGUACAUUGGUCCCCCUACCCUCUUUGUGGAUGAAGGAAGCAGGGAGAAGCUGAAGUUUCUUCCCCUCCCUCUGCCACUUCAAUGAAACACACUCCCCUCCUGGGUGUUCCCAACGUGUGCUAUAACUUACCGGUGUUUGUGUUUCUUGACUUUAAGUUCCUCUUACAAACUGGGAAUUGGAUGGUGUCCAUUUUAGGGUAAGCAUGGCCUUUGAAUGAGAAGCACAAAGGAGGGUGUUGUGGGACAUAUGUGUUCACACACAUUUUGUAGAUCUCAUAGCUGCCUCGAUGGCUCUCUCUAUCCCCACCUCACUGAUGAGACAUCAGUUUGCCCCAUGUUGACAUGUGAUGGUGAGUGACCCAGGCAGGACCUCAACUUUUUAGGGUCUACAGGCCUUGAAUCCUAGUCUCUGGUUCUCUGUGUGGCUCCUUAGCAGACGUAAAAACUGUUCUCACUGCCUUUUACGAAAGCUACCUGUGUUGUUCUUGUCCUAACAGCUGGACUCGGAGAAUUGAUUGAUUUAGUUUUUUUUCCUUUCUACUCUUCCCCCCACCCAUUAGUGGCCUCUUGCCUCCUACACAUACACUCACUCUCUCUCUCUCUCUCUCUCCCUCUCCC